GUGUACUCGUGAUACGUCAUCAGUCGGAGACCAAGUACUGUUCCAAUUCGAAGUACGCAUCAAGCCGAGAACGCGAAAAAGUCCCGGAUGUGUUCUCGAUCCGCCCGUUUCAUCGAGCAUGCAUCGGACUCCAGGUCUGUCCUCUUAGACGUGCUGUCUCUAUACAAGAAUGAGUGUUUAUGUUUGGGUGUCAACCUGGUGAGAGGAGCCUACAUGGACAAAGAGAGAAAACUAGCAAGGAAAGAGGGUCACCAGGACCCCAUCCAUCAGAGCUGGGAGGACACCAAUGACAGGCUGUUAUAAUGGAUGCCUUGAUGUGAUGCUGGAUGUCAUGUCGCAGGAACCUGAGCGGUACAGGUUCAUAGUGGCCACUCACAACGAGGAGUCAGUGAGACGAGCUGUGAAACGCUGAGACGGCAACGUAAUCGAGGUGGGUCAGCGUGUUGGAUGUUGUCCUGCAGGUGACUCAUCAGCAUCAGGUCACGUGCCUGGUACCAGCGUGAGUGCAGAGCAUGGUGAUAUAUGUGGCAGAGGA